CACGUAGGAGGCAAACGUUAUCCGGAUUUACUGGGCGUAAAGCGCGUGUAGGUGGUUCUGUAAGUAGGGCGUGAAAGCUCCUGGCUCAACUGGGAGAGGCCGUUCUAAACUGCAGAGCUAGAGGAUGGUAGAGGGAGGUGGAAUUCCGGGUGUAGCGGUGGAAUGCGCAGAUAUCCGGAGGAACACCAGUGGCGAAAGCGGCCUCCUGGACCAUUCCUGACACUCAGACGCGAAAGCUAGGGUAGCAAACGGGAUUAGAGACCCCGGUAGUCCUAGCCCUAAACGAUGUAGACUUGGCGUCGGUGGCUUAAUCGUCAUCGGUGUCGUAGCUAACGCGAUAAGUCUACCGCCUGGGGACUACGGCCGCAAGGUUAAA
rnacentral:rRNA from 1 species